UACGUAGGGGGCUAGCGUUGUCCGGAAUCAUUGGGCGUAAAGAGCGUGUAGGCGGUCCGGUAAGUCCGCUGUGAAAGUCGGGGGCUCAACCCUCGAAUGCCGGUGGAUACUGUCGGGCUAGAGUGCGGAAGAGGCGAGUGGAAUUCCUGGUGUAGCGGUGAAAUGCGCAGAUAUCAGGAGGAACACCAAUAGCGAAGGCAGCUUGCUGGGACGGUACUGACGCUAAGGCGCGAAAGCGUGGGGAGCGAACAGG
rnacentral:rRNA from 1 species